AUUGAACGCUGGCGGCAUGCUUUACACAUGCAAGUCGAACGGCAGCGCGGGCUUCGGCCUGGCGGCGAGUGGCGAACGGGGGAGUAAUGCAUCGGAACGUGCCCAGUAGGGGGGGAUAGCCCGGCGAAAGCCGGAGUAAUACCGCAUACGACCUGAGGGUGAAAGCGGGGGAGGGAAAGGCCUCGCGCUAGGGGAGCGGCCGAUGUCGGAUUAGCUAGGUGGUGGGGGAAAGGCUUACCAAGGCGACGAUCGGUAGCUGGUCUGAGAGGACGACCGGCCACCCUGGGACUGAGACACCGCCCAGACUCCUACGGGAGGCAGCAGUGGGGAAUGUUGGACAAUGGGGGCAAACCUGAUCCAGCCAUGCCGCGUGCGGGAAGACGGCCUUCGGGUUGUAAACCGCUUUUGUUCGGGAAGAACUCCUCUGGGCUAAUACCCCGGGGGGAUGACGGUACCGGAAGAAUAAGCACCGGCUAACUACGUG
rnacentral:rRNA from 1 species